rnacentral:rRNA from 1 species
UACGAAGGGUGCAAGCGUUGUUCGGAAUCAUUGGCGUAAAGCGCGCGCAGGCGGAUCAGCAAGUCAGAGUGUGAAAUCUCGAAGCUCAACUUCGAAACUGCGUCUGAAACUGCUAGUCUAGAAUGUCGGAGGGGGCAGGGGAAUUUCACGUGUAGGGGUAAAAUCCGUAGAGAUGUGAAGGAACACCGGAGGCGAAGGCGCCUGCC